rnacentral:ncRNA from 2 species
UACACUGCCCCGGUCUCAGGUGCCCCGCGGCGAUUGCCGCCGCAGGGUUGAACGGGAAGCCGGUGUGAAUCCGGCGCUGCCCCCGCAACGGUAAGCGAGUCAAGGCCGAUCGAAAUGCCACUGCGCCUUCGGGCGUGGGAAGGCGAUCGGCCGAUGCGUUCCGCAUCGCUCGCAAGCCCGGAUACCGGCCUGGGAUCUUUCGUCCUC